GCAGCGGAGCGUGUGGUUUAAUUCGUUGCUACACGAAGAACUUACCUGGGUUUGACAUAUAGGUUGUAGGGAACUGAAAGGGACGACCCUUCGGGGAGCCUAUACAGGUGUUGCAUGGCUGUCGUCAGCUCGUGUCGUGAGAUGUUCGGUUAAGUCCGCUAACGAGCGCAACCCUCGUCGUAUGUUAUAUGUGUCAUACGAGACUGCCGGUAAAAGCCGGAGGAAGGUGAGGAUGAUGUCAAGUCAGCAUGACCUUUAUAUCCAGGGCUACACACACGCUACAAUGGUCUGUACAAUGGGUAGCCAAGCCGCGAGGCGGAGCCAAUCCUGAAAGCAGGCCUCAGUUCAGAUUGCAGUCUGCAACUCGACUGCAUGAAGCCGGAGUUGCUAGUAACCGCAGGUCAGCAAUACUGCGGUGAAUACGUUCCCGGGUCUU
rnacentral:rRNA from 1 species